rnacentral:tRNA from 2 species
GUUUAUGUAGCUUAAUUAAAGCAUAGCACUGAAGAUGCUAAGAUAGAUUUUAAUAUAUAUCUCAAAAACA